rnacentral:sRNA from 1 species
CUUACUCAACCUUUUCACUUCCGACCUUUCUCUCUGUCUGUCGAUCUUUCUUUGACACGCACUUGCAUUCAUUCAUACACACAACUCAAAGCGAUACACAUUGAUCUUAUUUGAUCGGAUGAACUUCCGAAAUGAUGAGAAAGUGUGGCAUGAAAAAACAUGAUAGACCCACACCAAAAGAUGGAAAAUGAUGACGUGAACGGAUAUCAGAGGCUCCCCAUGGGAGGUCUAUUUUGACCCCUGGGUGUGCAGCCAUUGGUGAUAUUUUCUCAAAAUUUCUGAACC